rnacentral:rRNA from 1 species
UACGUAGGGUGCGAGCGUUGUCCGGAAUUAUUGGGCGUAAAGAGCUCGUAGGCGGUGUGUCACGUCGGCCGUGAAAACCUGCAGCUUAACUGUGGGCGUGCGGUCGAUACGGGCAUCACUGGAGUUCGGCAGGGGAGACUGGAAUUCCUGGUGUAGCGGUGAAAUGCGCAGAUAUCAGGAGGAACACCGGUGGCGAAGGCGGGUCUCUGGGCCGAUACUGACGCUGAGACGCGAAGGCGUGGGGAGCGAACGGG